rnacentral:rRNA from 1 species
UACGGAAGGCAGCAGUGGGGAAUAUUGCACAAUGGGCGAAAGCCUGAUGCAGCUAUGCCGCGUGUAUGAAGAAGGCCUUAGGGUUGUAAAGUACUUUCAUCGGGGAGGAAAAACAAAACUAAUAAUUUUAUUUCUUGACGUUACCCGAAAAAGAAGCACCGGCUAACUCCGUGCCAGCAGCCGCGGUAAUACGGAGGGUGCUAGCGUUAAUCAGAAUUACUGGGCGUAAAGAGCACGUAAGUGGUUUUUUUAAGUCAGAUGUGAAAUCCCUGGGCUUAACCUAGGAACUGCAUUUUGAAACUGAAAUACUAGAGUAUCGUAGAGGGAGGUAGAAUUCUAGGUGUAGCGGUGAAAUGCGUAGAUAUCUGGAGGAAUACCUGUGGCGAAAGCGGCCUCCUAAACGAAUACUGACACUGAGGUGCGAAAGCGUGGGGAGCAAACAGGGAUUAGAUACC